GACGAACGCUGGCGGCGUGCUUAACACAUGCAAGUCGAACGGAAAGGCCCCUUUGGGGGUACUCGAGUGGCGAACGGGUGAGUAACACGUGAGUAACCUGCCCUUGACUUCGGGAUAACUUCAGGAAACUGGGGCUAAUACCGGAUAGGAAUCCUUGCUGCAUGGUGGGGGUUGGAAAGCUUCGGCGGUUUUGGAUGGACUCGCGGCUUAUCAGCUUGUUGGUGGGGUAGUGGCUUACCAAGGCUUUGCCGGGUAGCCGGCCUGAGAGGGCGACCGGCCACAUUGGGACUGGGAUACGGCCCAGACUCCUACGGGAGGCAGCAGUGGGGAAUAUUGCACAAUGGGCGGAAGCCUGAUGCAGCAACGCCGCGGGCGGGAUGACGGCCUUCGGGUUGUAAACCGCUUUCAGCAGGGGCGAAGCUUGUGGUGACGGUACCUGCAGAAGAAGCACCGGCUAACUACGUG
rnacentral:rRNA from 1 species